UGCUUUAAAUUGUCCUGACA
rnacentral:piRNA from 1 species